UCGGUCCCUAUCCACCGCAGGCGGAGGAGACUUGAGGGGAGCUGGCCCUA
rnacentral:rRNA from 1 species